rnacentral:rRNA from 1 species
GAUGAACGCUGGCGGCGUGCCUAAUACAUGCAAGUCGAGCGAACGGACGAGAAGCUUGCUUUUCUGAUGUUAGCGGCGGUCGGGUGAGUAACACGUGGAUAACCUACCUAUAAGACUGGGAUAACUUCGGGAAACCGGAGCUAAUACCGGAUAAUAUUUUGAACCGCAUGGUUCAAAAGUGAAAGACGGUCUUGCUGUCACUUAUAGAUGGAUCCGCGCUGCAUUAGCUAGUUGGUAAGGUAACGGCUUACCAAGGCAACGAUGCAUAGCCGACCUGAGAGGGUGAUAGGCCACACUGGAACUGAGACACGGUCCAGACUCCUACGGGAGGCAGCAGUAGGGAAUCUUCCGCAAUGGGCGAAAGCCUGACGGAGCAACGCCGCGUGAGUAAUGAAGGUCUUCGGAUCGUAAAACUCUGUUAUUAGGGAAGAACAUAUGUGUAAGUAACUGUGCACAUCUUGACGGUACCUAAUCAGAAAGCCACGGCUAACUACGUG